rnacentral:ncRNA from 1 species
UUGGUGUUUGAUCCUGCCAUGAGUUCAGGGGACUGGACUUAAUGACCUCUUGAUGUUCCUUCCAAGUUCCAGGAUUCUUCUAUCUAUCUAUCUAUCUAUCUAUCUUCCUUCCUUCCUUCCUUCCUUCCUUCCUUCCUUCCUUCCUCCCUCUGCCCCAAUAAAGCUCUUCCAUGUUCUGUCCUACAGAGGGGCAUCCUAAAAUAUUGCAGAAAUCUGCCUGCAGAGGGUGCUUUCAAUUCAGUGUGUAUGACAUGUCUACACAGUCCUUCCCCAUGCCAUAUAUUACUGCAGCUCUACAGCUAAUGGAAACAACAAAUGGUCUGGUAGCACUUUAUAGACUAAAAAAACACGGUGGUACCAUGAGUUUACAUGGGCACAGCCCACUUCUUCAGAGGACCGUGGGCCAAAGCGAAAGCAUUUGCCAAGAAUGUUUUCAUUAAUCAUGAACAAAAGUCAGAGGUUCGAAGACGAUCAGAUACUGUCGUAGUUCCAACCAUAAACGAUGCCGACUCGCGAUCCGGCGGCGUUAUUCCCAUGACCCGCCGGGCAGCUUACAGGAAACCAAAGUCUUUGGGUUCCGGGGGGAGUAUGAUUGCAAAGCUGAAACUUAAAGGAAUUGGCACAAGGGCACCACGAGGAAUGGAGCCUAUGGCUUAAUUUGACUCAGCACGGGAAACCUUACCCAGUCUGGACACGGAAAGGAUUGACAGAUUGAUAGCUCUUUCUCGAUUCUGUGGGUGGUGGUGAAUGGCUAUUCUUAGUUGGUGGAGCGAUUUGUCUGGUUAAUUCUGAUAACGAAUGAGACUCCAACUUUUUAGAGGGACAAGUGGCGUUCAGCCACCCGAGAUUGAGCAAUAACAGGUCUGUGAUGCCCUUAGAUGUCCGGGGCUGCACGCGCGCUACACUGACUGGCUCAGCGUGUGUCUACCCUACGCCGACAGGUGCGGGUAACCCGUUGAACCCCAUUCGUGAUGGGGAUCGGGGAUUGCAAUUAUUCCCCAUGAACGAGGAAUUCCCAGUAAGUGCGGGUCAUAAGCUCGCGUUGAUUAAGCCCCUGCCCUUUGUACACACUGCCCGUCACUACUACCGAUUGGAUGGUUUAGUGAGGUCCUUGGAUCGGCCCUGCCGGGGUCGGUCGCGGCCCUGGUGGAGUGCCAAGAAGACGGUUGAACUUGACUAUCUAGCGGAAGUAAGUCGUAACAAGGUUUCCAUAGGUGAACCUGCGGAAGGAUCAUUA